UACGUAGAGUGCAAGCGUUGUACCGGAAUUAUUGGGCGUAAAGGGUACGCAGGCGGAUAGUAAAGUCAAGCGUUGAAAGGUGUCGGCUUAACCGACAGACUGCGUUUGAAACUGAUUAUCUUGAGUGUAACGAGAGGAGAGUGGGAAUUCCGUAGUGUAGUGGUGAAAUACGUAGAUAUUAGGAAGAACACCAGUGGCGAAGGCGACUCUCUGGGUUAACACGUAGACGCUGAGGUACGAAAGCUGGGGGAGCAAACGGGAUUAGAUACCCGGGUAGU
rnacentral:rRNA from 1 species